AGAUGUGAAAUGUUGCCAGAAGUAUUAUCGCAAUACGUACAGAGAGUAAUUGGAAAUCGCAGCAAGGGGAAGGGCGCACGUCGUUCCUCGCUUCGAACUCCAACAGUUGCGAUCUCUUUUUUCUCACUACUUAUUAUCAAGAAAAUAUUUCUCACACUAAUCCAGAAUUAUAUCCUUUUCCCGAUAAAAUACACAUACAUAUACACGUAUACACACAUACAAACACACACACACAUACGUACACGAUGUCCAAACAUAAAAAAUAAAAACGAUUUAUUCGUAUUUUUGAGAAUCGUGAUAUAGCUUCGUAGUGCGCAAGUGUAAUUAGAGCGAAAACGAAAAAAAAAAAAAAUUAAAAACAAAAAAAAAAAAACCAAAAAAAAACCAAAAAAAAAGGAAAGAAAAAAUAAAUAAAUAAAUCAUUAAAUAAAUAAAUGCAACCACGAUUAUAUCGCGAGGAGCACAAAUUGCUACCUUGCAUCUUGUAUUUGCAACGAAAUAACCUUUUUCUCUUUCUACUUGACGAAGACAUCGUAGUUUAAUCAAUCGAUUAUUCAUUAAAAAUACAAAAAAAGAAAAAAAGAAAAAAAUAUAAAGGAAAAAA